GAGAGAGAGAGAGAGAGAGACACAGAGAUGUAUAUAUGUCACUUACCCCACAUACUCUGAAGCUAUCUGCACAUGCAAGUAGCCACAAAGUUGUAGUGAGACUUUUCAAUUAUUUGCCAUAUAUAGAUUUUGCUGUAUGUAGGAAUACUCUACGCAAUCACCCAGAUAAGCUUCUCAGUUAUUCUUGGCAUCCUAUUUUAAGAUACAGAAAGAAUGGGCAAUUGACUGAGCAUAAAUUAAUUCCCUUAUUUUUUGAAAGGUAUAUAUCUUGUCUAACCAACAGUAGUCUUUUAGGGGGCCGGAAGUGGUCCUGAAACAGGGGGCACUCCUAAACAUCUCCAAAACUUAAACCAACAUCAAACCCAUUGAAAUCUCAUAUCCUGUGAAGUUUCCCAGGUUAAGACAAUUAAAUACUAUAGCUGUUUACUACUACCAGAAAGAGGGACCAAGUGUUAGUUCCCAAGUCCUCACUAAAUCUUUUAUAGAUUCUUACACUAAAAAAGCACACAAUGUUCUUUAGAUUAACACACCAAAUUCUUAGCAGGAAGUUAGAGUAUUCCCAGUAAAUCCCAAGCAGGGCCAGGGGGAGCACAGGCAUUCAUGUGUGUUUGACCUAAGGCUCUUUCUCUAGUGAAAAUUAUUUCUCUUUCACCAGUAAGAAGAACCUACAUGAACAAGUGCUGAAGGAAAGAGAUACCUGCCCAUCUCAGUCAAAUGACCUAGUCUCAGUUAUCAAUGCAAAUGGUGGAUAUCACCACCAUUUUUUUUCCAACAUCCAGGGCAGAGAAAGAAUCUGUGUUUAGCUUCAGUGAAUUUAGGGUUGACACUAAUGCUUCAAUAAGGACAAAGAUAACAAAAAGUUGAGUGGCUAAAUAUGUGGCUCUUUAAUGCAGACCAAUGAUUAUUCCAGGAAUCUUCCUCUCUCUCCAAUUUCCAGGAUUGAGAAACAGACUAAAAUACUUAGAAAGCAAACCCAGAUCAUCUGAGUAAGACAUUAUGCUUCAAGAAUGGAAGAUAACCUACCAGCUUUACCAUAAUCUCAGGUUUCUAGAAACAUAUGUAAUACUACAAAACAAAAGCAAAGCUCACCUUAGGUUGAAGAAGGACAUAAACAAAAUAUAGUGAUGCAUUCCCUGGGUUUUGGGGAAAAUCUAUCCGGAUGAAGCUUGGUGAUGCUGAUGGCAGACUAUUUAGUAAACUAACAAAUUUUGUGAGACUCUAUCUUGUAACUUUUUUUUUUUUUUUUUUUUUUUUUUUGAGGCAGAGUCUUGCUCCGUGUCCUAGGCUAGAGCGCAACAGCGCAAUCUCGGCUAACUGCAACCUCUGCCUCCCGGGUUCAAGGAUUCUCCUGCCUUAGCCUCCCAAGUAGCUGGGAUUACAGGCGCCUGCCACUGCACCCAGCUAAUUUUUGUAUUUUUUAGUAGAGACGGGGUUUUGCCACGUAGGCCAGGCUGGUCCCAAACUCCUGACCUCAGAUGAUCCACUCGCCUCGGCCUCCCAAAGCUAUGGGAUUACAGGCGUGAGCCACCGCACCCAGUCAACUUUUUUCUUUCUGUCUUGAACGCUGUUCAUGCUUUAAGACUUCCUGAUGAUUACUAAAGUGGCCUAUGUUCCUUCAUACGGUUGACUGUAUGUUGAAUACACCAUUGAAAGAAUGGCUGAGAAAAAAAAAUCGAGUGAGUCAAUAAGAAAAAAUGUGAACUCCAAGAUUAUUCACUUUCUGGAGAAUCCUUCUGUAUCUCUUAUUCUACUUCCUCAAGUAAUAUUAGCAUAUUUUUUGAACCAAGCAAGCAGGAAUAAAACCUGUCGCUUCAAGUUUUCUGUUGCACAAUUUAUUUUGAAGGAUGUCAUUCUCUGAUGUUAUAUCUAAAUUUUGGAAAGAAAUAUUAAGAAUGUGGAUGUUCAAGAAUCAGAAUUUGAAAAAACAAAACAAGUCUUGUUUCCUUUUUAAAGUAAUCUACUGCAGUUUUUUGUGUGUAAUGGUAUUGCUUUUGGAAGUAUAAUUCUUUUCAUUUUAGACUGAAACAGUAUUGUUUUGUACAAAAUCAGAAAGCAUAUUCAUUUUAUUCUUUCAUUAUGCCUUGAUGUACAUAUGAACAUCUAUCUAGCUGUCAGGUUUUUUUUUUUUAAGUCUGUUCUGUGCCCUGAAAGGGAAGUUAAAAAAAAAAAAAAAAGUUGUGGCAUUUCACCACUCAACCUUCAAAGUGAG
rnacentral:lncRNA from 1 species